rnacentral:rRNA from 1 species
UACGUAGGGGGCGAGCGUUGUCCGGAUUUAUUGGGCGUAAAGAGCGUGUAGGCGGCCAGGUAGGUCUGCUGUGAAAACUCGAGGCUCAACCUCGAGACGUCGGCGGAAACCAUCUGGCUAGAGUCCGGAAGAGGAGAGUGGAAUUCCUGGUGUAGCGGUGAAAUGCGCAGAUAUCAGGAGGAACACCGGUGGCGAAGGCGGCGCUCUGGACCGAGACUGACGCUGAGGCGCGAAAGCGUGGGGAGCGAACAGG